GACGAACGCUGGCGGCGUGCCUAAUACAUGCAAGUCGAACGCAGUGGGGACGGGUGAGUAACACGUGGGUAACCUCCCAUCAGAGGGGAUAACCCUUGGAAACAGGUGCUAAACCGAUACUGAUUGAUGGAACCGCGGUGCAUUAGCUAGUUGGUGGGGUAACGGCGCACCAAGGCCACGAUGCAUAGCCGGCCUGAGAGGGUGAGCGGCCACACUGGGACUGAGACACGGCCCAGACUCCUACGGGAGGCAGCAGUAGGGAAUCUUCGGCAAUGGGCGAAAGUCUGACCGAGCAACGCCGCGUGAGUGAAGAAGGUUUUCGGAUUGUAAAACACUUUUGUUAGAGAAGCGGUAUCUAACCAGAAAGCCACGGCUAACUCCGUGCCAGCAGCCGCGGUAAUUC
rnacentral:rRNA from 1 species